rnacentral:rRNA from 1 species
CCUACGGUGCGCAGCAGUGGGGAAUAUUGGACAAUGGGCGAAAGCCUGAUCCAGCCAUGCCGCGUGUGUGAAGAAGGCCUUCGGGUUGUAAAGCACUUUCAGUGGGGAAGAAAGCCUUGGGGCGAAUACCCUCGAGGAAGGACAUCACCCACAGAAGAAGCACCGGCUAACUCCGUGCCAGCAGCCGCGGUAAUACGGAGGGUGCGAGCGUUAAUCGGAAUUACUGGGCGUAAAGCGCGCGUAGGCGGUCUGAUAAGCCGGUUGUGAAAGCCCCGGGCUCAACCUGGGAACGGCAUCCGGAACUGUCAGGCUAGAGUGCAGGAGAGGAAGGUAGAAUUCCCGGUGUAGCGGUGAAAUGCGUAGAGAUCGGGAGGAAUACCAGUGGCGAAGGCGGCCUUCUGGACUGACACUGACGCUGAGGUGCGAAAGCGUGGGUAGCAAACAGGAUUAGAUACCCCAGUAGUC